rnacentral:rRNA from 1 species
AAUACCUCUUUUUUCACAAUCGCACAGAAAGUGGAGAUAAGGUUACCCGGAGGGCUAAAAGAAAAACUUUUAGCUGUUAUAGGUGUGUAAAUAACCCUAGGAGAAAGGGGAGGGCAAGGCUGGUGCCAGCCGCCGCGGUAAAACCAGCUCUUCAAGUGGUCGGGAGUUUUAUUGGGCUUAAAGUGUCCGUAGCCGGUUUGGUAAGUUCCUGGUUAAUUCUGGCAGCUUAACUGUCAGUCGGCUAGGAUUCCUGCCUUACUCGGGGGGGGGAAAGGUCUGGGGUACUCCAGGGGUAGGGGUGAAAGGCGAUAAUCCUUGGGGGACCACCAGUGGCGAAGCCCCCGGAUUGGAACACGCCUGACGGGGAGGGACGAAUGCCAGGGGGGGGGAACGGGAUUAGAUACCCGGGUAGUCUUGGUUGUAAACAUUGCGUGCUAGGUGUUGGAGGGGUUAUGAGCCGAAUCAGUGCCGUAGGGGAAACUGUUAAGCGCGCCGCCUGGAAAGAACGCCCGCAAGAGGAAACCUUAAGGGAUUUGGCGGGGGAAAGGGCAAAUUCGUUUAACCUUGCGGAAUUAGCCCCUUUUGGGGAGGGUAAUUCUGAGCUUGGGGUAACCAUGGCCAUAGCUGUUUCCGGGAA